CUGGCGGCGUGCUUAACACAUUGCAAGUUCGAACGAUGAAGCCUAGCUUUGCUAGGUUGGAUUAGUUGGCGAACGGGUUGAGUAAUACGUGAGUUGACCUACCUUUGACUCUGGGAUAAGCCUGGGAAACUGGGUCUAAUACCGGAUACGACCAAUCUCCGCAUGGGGUGUUGGUGGAAAGCGUUAUGGAGUGGUUUUAGAUGGGCUCACGGCCUAUCAGCUUGUUGGUGAGGUAAUGGCUUACCAACGCGACGACGGGUAGCCGGCCUGAGAGGGUGACCGGCCACACUGGGACUGAGACACGGCCCACACUCCUACGGGAGGCAGCAGUGGGGAAUAUUGCACAAUGGGCGCAAGCCUGAUGCAGCGACGCCGCGUGAGGGAUGACUGCCUUCGGGUUGUAAACCUCUGUUAGCAUCGAAUAAGCGAAAGUGACGGUAGGUGCAGAGAAAGCGCCAGCUAACUACGUGCCAGCAGCCGCGGUAAUACGUAGGGCGCGAGCGUUGUCCGGAAUUAUUGGGCGUAAAGAGCUUGUAGGCGGUUGGUCGCGUCUGCUGUGAAAGGCUGGGGCUUAACCCUGGUUUUGCAGUGGGUACGGGCUAACUAGAGUGCAGUAGGGGAGACUGGAAUUCCUGGUGUAGCGGUGGAAUGCGCAGAUAUCAGGAGGAACACCGAUGGCGAAGGCAGGUCUUUGGGCUGUAACUGACGCUGAGAAGCGAAAGCAUGGGGAGCGAACAGGAUUAGAUACCCUGGUAGUCCAUGCCGUAAACGUUGGGCACUAGGUGUGGGGGACAUUCCACGUUUUCCGCGCCGUAGCUAACGCAUUAAGUGCCCCGCCUGGGGGAGUACGGCCGCAAGGCUAAAACUCAAAGAAAUUGACGGGGGCCCGCACAAGCGGCGGAGCAUGCGGAUUAAUUCGAUGCAACGCGAAGAACCUUACCAAGGCUUGACAUAUACUGGAGUGCGUCAGAGAUGGCGUUUCCCUUCGGGGCUGGUAUACAGGUGGUGCAUGGUUGUCGUCAGCUCGUGUCGUGAGAUGUUGGGUUAAGUCCCGCAACGAGCGCAACCCUCGUUCUAUGUUGCCAGCACGUGAUGGUGGGGACUCAUAGGAGACUGCCGGGGUCAACUCGGAGGAAGGUGGGGAUGACGUCAAAUCAUCAUGCCCCUUAUGUCUUGGGCUUCACGCAUGCUACAAUGGCCGGUACAGAGGGUUGCGAUACUGUGAGGUGGAGCUAAUCCCUAAAAGCCGGUCUCAGUUCGGAUUGGGGUCUGCAACUCGACCCCAUGAAGUCGGAGUCGCUAGUAAUCGCAGAUCAGCAACGCUGCGGUGAAUACGUUCCCGGGCCGUGCACACACCGCCCGUC
rnacentral:rRNA from 1 species